CCGAUCUCCCCCGACCCCGUGCCCUAACCCAUGCGACACCGGCGAUUUCCUUUUCCCUUCCUCUCCAUUCCGAUCCUCUCCAAUGUGCAGCGCCGACGACCGGCCAUUUCCCUCUGCCCUAGCUUGCACUCGACUCUUCUCUUCGUCUUCUUCAUCGGGUCGGCCACACAACCGACGCCGUGGUGGCCUAGAUCUGCAGCGCGCCGACCGCCGCCUUGUUCGUUGCUUGAGCAGCCAACUAUCACCGGGGAUUCUCCUCACUGUGCCCUAGUUCUUCCUCUGCGCGCCAUUGCCGACCGCCUCCUCUUGGCCUUGACCAUGCCGGCGCCGAGCAAGUUGAGUCUCUUCUCCUCAAGUUUUUCUUGGGUUCGUGGCUCAGAUCCCUGGUGACGAUUUCCCCGAUUUGCCGCGAGCCACAAUGUAGAGCCACUUCUAGUAGCAAGCAGCCAAGCUUGCUGUUGUGCCCUAGACUUCCUCUUGCUGCCGAAUCCGAACCAAGGCAGCAGCGACUUCAUCAGGGAGGUGCCACGGGUUUUGAUUCUUUGGUGCCAUGGUUGUUUUCGUGAGGCCAUAUUAGCGACAUUGCAGCCGGUUUCAACCCUAGGUCCCAACGCUGUCUUUGCCGUCGACGAACUUCCUGUUUCUCUGUGCCCUAGCUUCGAUCAAAGCAGUAGUGAUUUGGCAAUGUGACAGCCAGAGGGUUGCAGGUUCGAUCAGUAGCAUUACUGCUCUACUGAUUUCGGGCUGGCAAGUGUUGUGGGGUUGAUCUUGAUCUGUUGGGUAGGAAGGAUUCCAACCAAGUGUGGUGCGUUAUGGGAAAAAACUGCAGCAAGGAGAUCUUGUUGUGGUAUACUUUGUUUUCAGCAGCAAUCAGCUCACCUUGUUCUGUGUUCAACAGCAGUUGAGCUUGAGGACUUUGACGCGAGACGAGCAUCUCGAUGUCGGAUUGGACCGGAUACGAUACUCUUAUCG